rnacentral:lncRNA from 1 species
CAAGUAUAUGUAUGUAUAUAUGGAUGUUUUGCCGAUUUUUGACAGAUCUAUUCUUUUCUCUUUCUAGAUUGCUUGAGGAUUUCUCAGUAGUGUCUAUAGAUACUGCUACUGUAACCAGAUAUAUGCAAUUUUAGAUACUGAAAAUAAUUAGCUAAUUAAUUAUUGGAAUAUUUUGUUGCAUUGUACACAAGAGAAAAGAGGACCAUACACAUUAAAGAGGGUAGUAAGGGGGAAAUUUCACAAUGAACAGAUAAAAAACUAGUUUGAACAUUGUUUU